GGAAGGAAGAAAGGAAGGAAGCAAAAAGAGAGACUCUUCCAUCUGUUACAAAUUUCUUCAGACUGGAUUUCGUGAUGUCCUUGCUAUGACGAAACAGAUGGAAUCCAUGAAAUGCUACAAAGAUGGCACUGACAUCAUGUGUCAUGAAAUAUGAUUUGCCUGUUGCUGUGAAUAAUGAAGAUUAAAUGACUCACUAUUGUGCCCUGUAAACUCCUCCAAGCACUAAAUCCAACUCUCAGACUGAGAACUUGCCUGUUGAUUUUCCAAAGAUUGAAUCAAAAUAUCCAACUGCUCCUUGAUCUUGAAGACUGUGCUUAACACCUCCACCCUCAGCCCUGCCAGGGCUUGUG